rnacentral:lncRNA from 1 species
AUGUCUUCAAUUGACUACGGACGUGAGGAGAAAUUUGAAAUUUAUUGACAAUGGGAUCCUUUCUACUACCAUAGCUCACAAUCACCUUAAGUUUCAAAAGAUUAGCAAGCACAUCCUCACCCAAUUUCUCUGCUGUUUUCUUCUCUGUAUUUUUAAUCAAACCCUCCCCAAUCCACAAGUUAAUUGCAUUUCUUUUCCUUAUCACAACAUUUGGAAGGAAAACUAAGAGAGAACACAAGUAAUCUUUUAAUAAGUUCAAAUCGUG